rnacentral:rRNA from 2 species
GCGGAGGGAUCAUUACCGAGUUUACAACUCCCAAAACCCCCUGUGAACUUAUACCUUUACCGUUGCUUCGGCGGGUUUGUCCUGGAACCAGGCGCCCGCCGGGGGACCAAAACUCCUGUAUUUUUUACUUUUAUAUGUCUGAGUGGAAUCAUACAAAAUGAAUCAAAACUUUCAACAACGGAUCUCUUGGUUCUGGCAUCGAUGAAGAACGCAGCGAAAUGCGAUAAGUAAUGUGAAUUGCAGAAUUUCAGUGAAUCAUCGAAUCUUUGAACGCACAUUGCGCCCGCCAGUAUUCUGGCGGGCAUGCCUGUUCGAGCGUCAUUUCAACCCUCAAGCCCCCAGUGGCUUGGUGUUGGGGACCGGCGCGCGCCGCCCCCGAAAUGAAUUGGCGGUCUCGUCGCGGCCUCCUCUGCGUAGUAGCACAAAACCUCGCAACAGGAGCGCGGCGCGGCCACUGCCGUAAAACGCCCAAACUUUUUCAAGAGUUGACCUCGAAUCAG